rnacentral:lncRNA from 1 species
AUUUACACCAUAAACAGUUUAAAACAAGCGUUUGAACUCAGAGAUUCUGGUGCAAAUUGUGCUAUUUUACAUUAUAAAGCAAGAGUUCCUUAUUGUGAGGUACAUCAUACAAACUACAUGGAAGCACAAAGGUUUAAAUGAAGAGUGAGAAAGUUAUUGAUCGAAUCGACAUCAUUUCAUAACGCAAAUGAUCUGUAGCCUAGAGGUUUUUUCGACGAGCGAUGCAGUGUGCAGGAUUUUUAGACGAACGACGCAACCAGCAAAUUUUUUCUGCGAAAAACCACAAAAAACGUAGGUUUUUCAGCGAAAACUGCAACCAGCAACAGCGUCGCUGCAGGUUUUUUCGAUGAACAUUUUCGACGGACGAUGCAGCCUGCAGGUUUUUUUCAGCGAUCUGCAAGUUUUUUUGUCUGGUUUCGGCGAAAAACAACAGCAUGACAGCACAGGAAAGAUGGCAAAGAACCACUACGACUCUUGAAUUGAAUGGUGUUUUAGUUGAAUAUUAAGAGGUUGUAUACUCGCAUUAAACUUCAUAGUCUAAAAAGAUGGUCUUCUCUUACUUCUCCACCGGUGGAGGCACACCAUUCACAUUCAACCCGAGAAACACUGAUGGCAUUUUCGCUGAGUUUUUCGGGUUCUAGGGAAUGGGAGGUGGUGGAAAUGGUCCAGGUGUCAGAACAACGAGGUUUUCGAGCAAUAUGUUUGGCGGUAAUAUGGGUAGAUUUGAUAAUACCUUCAGAGCUAUUUUGGUGGUGGCGGUGGUGGAUCGUUCAGUAGCGGUGGUGGAGUUGGGUCAGGUACUUGGAAAACCGCCCUGAUAGAGACAUUGCAAACAUUAGUGGGUAAGUUGAUUAUCUUCCAUCAAACCAAUAGGGGGCGGUGUGGGGUCAACUUGGUCCUAAAUCGUUUCAAAAUUACGUGUAUAGUUUCAUCAGCGAAUUAUGUUGAUUAUUACGUGUAUAAUUUCAUCAGCGAAAUAUGUUGAUUAUGAUACACCUACUACCCAGUUUUGGGAGUGAAAAACUUUUUAGAACUUAAUUUGAAA